CCCGCCCUCCCCGAGCUGGGGACGGUGGGGGUGGGGACUGCACUACAGGGACCGGGAACAGAGGAGCAACGGCGGGCGCCUCUGAGCCUGGGAUUUCGUUCCUUGGCUCCUCUUCCUGCCUGAAAAUCAUAUGCGUGGUUUUUCCUGUUUCCUGCUCUGUAGCUGACAUCAGGGGAGCAACGUGAACACAGGAAAAUGGAAAUCAACAUUUGAAACUUUUAAAUGGAAGCUUUAUUGGGGUUCCACAUAUGGAAAACUGCAAAUAGCAGAAGUAUGUGACUCAAUAAAUUAUUCUGGAGUGACCACAUCCUCUAACUGCCUCCCAGGACAAGACGGAGAAUGUGAACAAUGCUCCUGAAGGCCCCUUUCCCUCAAAGAAUCACUGCAAUUGAAGGAAAAAUGCUCCAUGUCCCCUCUGCCAGUUGGUGUUUAUCAAAGGACAACGGAGGAAGAGAGACAAAGUGCCUGGAUGUGUGUGUUAAUCAAGAGUUGUCAGGACCCUGCCUCUAAAAGAAAGCGCUAAAAUGAUGCUUUUGACAAGACUUUUCUCAAAGUGGAUGCAGUCUAAGGGUUGGAAAACAAGGCCCAAUCAGGCUAGGUCUGACUUGUCGCCUGCUUUUGUAAAUAAAGUUUUAUUGGCUCACAG
rnacentral:lncRNA from 10 species